CUGUUUUUGAAUGUGCUGUAUAUCAAGGAAGGCACAUAAUGUGAUCAUUUUUUUCUUGGAAGCAAAACUACAUGCAGAAAUGAAAUUAUGGCAUCUGAACUUAUAGCACAGAAUCAAUAUAUAUAAUAACUAGAACACAAUGAAUAAAAAGACACAAAAAUAUUUCCACAGUAUUAUAGACUUGCCACUCUAAAUCCUAAGAAGGUCCCUCCCUCUCUCCUCAUCAUGACACAGAAUUUGUUGGAUCUCAAACUUCUAGAGUAAAUACUCUUGACUAUCCCUCUGAAUCUUUUCUUAGGUCAACAAAAGAGUUCUAAUCAGUUGGUCUGCAGGUAUUUAGUAUUUACUAUGUUCCAGGCACUGUUUUAAACAUUGGGAAUACAAAGGCUAAAAAGUACCACUCCUGACCUCAUGAAUUAACAGGGAAACUAUGAUUUCUCAUAUAGUUGACACACAGUUUCCCAUAAUAACCACCAUCAAGAAGAGGCAGGAACUCUGAAGUCAGUUUCCACUCACUUGUGGCAUGGGAAGAUGGAGCUCAGGAUUUUUUGUGAACUAGAACUCAGGAAAAACAUGCCCUCAAAGAGGUAAAAAGAUGCAAAAUAAGACUGGCUGGCCAUGCUGCAGGCUGUUCGACCUCACAUGAAGAAAAAAAUGGCGGAGCACUAGAGCUUUGGUUCCUGCCCACGCCCUCAGGGAUUGGGCCAGUCCAGGUGGGAAAAACUAUAAGAUGGACUCUACUUAUAUUUUGAAGAACCAACACAAGAUGCUUGACCAUCUCUCAUGGCCUAUCUCAACAGACUCCAGGAUAAGAAACUUGCUACCUCCCCAAAUCAAGAAAGUGAACUGUUUGGAGAAGGUGCCAUAAAGAAGCCUGCAGAAACCACACACUGCAUCAAAAGAUCCAGAAUGAAAUUUGGGAUGUAGUGAAUUGAACCAUGGGGGGUUGAACACAUUUAUUUUGAAUGUAAACUCUUAUACCAAAGGGGACUGCCCCCUAAUUGGCUUUGUGUCAAUGCACCUAGCAAUCAUUGGUUUUGUUCUCUUUCUCUUUUAUUUCCCUCUUAUCUCCAAAUUAUUGUAAUUUCUCCAUAGAAAUUACAAUAUUAUAUGUACCUCUAUCUAGUUAAAGAUCUUUAGAGAUAUAAGUUGGUCAUGUGUAUUGAUUCAUUGGGGAAACUAGGCAUGUAAAUCUGGGAGAUUUCUGCAUGUUCAUUUCCCAAUGGAAUCACAGGGGGGAUUGUGUAGUUGGAAUUUACUCCCCAGAACUCUCUUUCCCAGCUUCCCAAUUUUCUUCUCACAUUAUAUCCUAACAUAGGGAGGAUAUAUUUUGAGUGUAGCUCCUCCCUCUCUCUCUACUCUGGGGAAAUCGAUUGUAGAGGCUGGGUGAGAACCAGGCAGGUGAAUUUUACCCACAUGUUUUUACUUUUUUUUUUGCUUAGGUUUUUUUUUAAUUUUUGUUCUUUUAUUUCUUCUACUUCAAAUGAUUACUAAUAAAUAUUAUAAAAUAUAAUACUUG
rnacentral:lncRNA from 1 species